rnacentral:hammerhead_ribozyme from 1 species
AUCCAGCUGACGAGUCCUAAAUAAGACGAAACGCGCGUCACACUGGAU